UCGGGAAUUUUGGGCAAUGGGCGAAAGCCUGACCCAGCAACGCCGCGUGAAGGAUGAAGUAUUUCGGUAUGUAAACUUCGAAAGAAUAGGAAGAAUAAAUGACGGUACUAUUUAUAAGGUCCGGCUAACUACGUGCCAGCAGCCGCGGUAAUACGUAGGGACCAAGCGUUGUUCGGAUUUACUGGGCGUAAAGGGCGCGUAGGCGGCAAUUCAAGUCAUCUGUGAAAUCUCCGGGCUUAACUCGGAACGGUCAGAUGAUACUGCUUUGCUAGAGUGCAGAAGGGGCAAUCGGAAUUCUUGGUGUAGCGGUGAAAUGCGUAGAUAUCAAGAGGAACACCUGAGGUGAAGACGGGUUGCUGGGCUGACACUGACGCUGAGGCGCGAAAGCCAGGGGAACAAACGGGAUUAGAUACCCCCGUAGUCCCUGAGCGGGCUGGCAAGGCGCAU
rnacentral:rRNA from 1 species